GACGAACGCUGGCGGCGUGCCUAACACAUGCAAGUCGAGCGAGAGACUUCGGUCUCUAGCGGCGGACGGGUGAGUAACACGUGGGUAACCUGCCUCAUAGAGGGGGAUAGCCUCCCGAAAGGGAGAUUAAUACCGCAUAACAUCAUGCUUUCGCAUGGAAGUAUGAUCAAAGGAGCAAUCUGCUAUGAGAUGGACCCGCGGCGCAUUAGCUAGUUGGUGGGGUAACGGCCUACCAAGGCAACGAUCAGUAGCCGGCCUGAGAGGGCGGACGGCCACACUGGGACUGAGACACGGCCCAGACUCCUACGGGAGGCAGCAGUGGGGAAUUGUUCGCAAUGGGCGCAAGCCUGACGACGCAACGCCGCGUGGAGGACGAAGAUCUUCGGGUCGUAAACUCCUGUCGAGCGGGAAGGACGCUUCCCGAGUGAACAACUCGGGGAAUUGACGGUACCGCUAAAGGAAGCCCCGGCUAACUCCGUGCCAGCCGCCGCGGUAAUAC
rnacentral:rRNA from 1 species